rnacentral:lncRNA from 1 species
CUCCAGAGCACUGAAAUUCAGAGGGUGCCAAUAUUUGUUGCCCUUUAGCAGCUUAGAAACAAUUGUGCCUAGCACCUGGUUGGCAAAAAUAUUAGGAUGCUCAAGGAAUUUUGUUUUCUCAUUGAAAACAUCCCAGGUUUGUUCCUUCCCCACCCCCCUCCCAGAAAUAAAGAGCCUGCCUAGCAGAGUCCUCAUAAUGUCUCACUGUCUCCCCUUUGAUCUCAUAGAUUUCAUGCCACUUGGGCCAGAAGUAAAAUGCUACUUGGGUCCAUUUCCUGACUCACCAUGUGAACUAAGACAGUUUUGCUUUCUCUGCCAUCAUAUUGGUUCUUUAUACCACCAUGGACUCUGUCUGAUCUACUGAGGCAAGAGUUCAACCAACAUUGGUUUUUCUGAAAGCAUCCGGUUCUUCAUCUACCACAAUCUGACUGACUUCUGAAAAGUGGGGAGUUUCCCAUCACUGGUCAUCUUCAAACAGAAUUUCAGAGCCCAGGUAUAUGAUGGUGUAGGAAGGAUUCCUGUUUAGGAAUGGACCAGACUACAUGAUCUCUGAGGUUGUUUCCAGCUCUGAGCUUCUGUGCUGUGCUCCCAUCUACCAGGUGGAGGAAUUUAUCUUUUCUCUCAUUUUAAACUUUAGAUUAGACUGAAAACAGCUUGCAGUCCAAGGUAAGACUCAAUCUUUUACAAAAAGAACUAUCCAGAAAUGGAAUGAAUCACUUUGUGAGGCAGAGAAUUUCUUGUCACUGCUGGAUGGAGGGGGGAGAUCAUUAAGCACAGUCUCAUUGAGGAUAUGGCUAGAUUAGGAUAUCUCUGUGUGUAGUUAGAAGAUUUGGGUUCAAUUUCUUGUCCCCACACCUAACUACCUGUGUGACAUUGAACAAUUCACUGGUUCUCAGUUUCAUCAAUUGUAAAAACAAGUAGUUGGACAAAUGAUUUCUGAGGUCCCUUCUUCAAUGUCCUGAUAAUCCCUUCUACCUCAGAGAUCCUUAUGCAGAAGAAUGCUGGUAAAUGUUUGACAAC